rnacentral:rRNA from 1 species
UACGAAGGGGGCUAGCGUUGCUCGGAAUCACUGGGCGUAAAGGGUGCGUAGGCGGGUCUUUUAAAUCAGGGGUGAAAUCCUGGAGCUCAACUCCAGAACUGCCUUUGAUACUGAAGAUCUUGAGUUCGGGAGAGGUGAGUGGAACUGCGAGUGUAGAGGUGAAAUUCGUAGAUAUUCGCAAGAACACCAGUGGCGAAGGCGGCUCACUGGCCCGAUACUGACGCUGAGGCACGAAAGCGUGGGGAGCAAACAGGG